rnacentral:tRNA from 1 species
AGUGCAAUAGAGAGAAGUUGGUCAACCAAAAGGUCGAGCAAGGGAUUAGCCGAGAGGUUAAAGAGUAGAAGUCUUUCAAACUAUUGCCUAGGCGAGGUAAAAGGCAAGGGCUAUUAGCUCAGCUGGUUAGAGCGCACCCCUGAUAAGGGUGAGGUCUCUGGUUCAAGUCCAGAAUGGCCCACCUAACCAAAAAAGCCAAAGAGAAGGAUAAACCCUUCAGCAUCCUGUCUGAUGAGAGUCAGAGGGAAUGCUGGAUGUAAGUCCAGUAAGAACCUUGAAAACUGCAUAAAGAGAAGAGAAAGCAGGGAAAAUCUUGCUCUUACUAACCGUUUUGAUAUUAACCACAAGGCUUUUGGCUGAGUGUGAGACUGAAGGGCGGUGAAGGUAGGAGGAAAGAUAAUCCUAGUUAGCAAAAAGAAGAUCUUAAAAAGGUCAAGCUACAAAGGGCUAACGGUGGAUACCUA